UUAUACCGCGAAACUGCGAAUGGCUCAUUAAAUCAGUUAUCGUCUAUUUGAUAGUACCUUACUACUUGGAUAACCGUGGUAAUUCUAGAGCUAAUACAUGCUGAAAAUCCCGACUUCGGAAGGGUUGUAUUUAUUAGAUUAAAAACCAAUGCCCUUCGGGGCUCCCUGGUGAUUCAUAAUAACUUCUCGAAUCGCACGGCCUUGCGCCGGCGAUGGCUCAUUCAAAUUUCUGCCCUAUCAACUUUCGACGGCUUGGUCUUGGCCAGCCGUGGUGACAACGGGUAACGGAGGGUUAGGGCUCGGCCCCGGAGAAGGAGCCUGAGAAACGGCUACUACAUCCAAGGAAGGCAGCAGGCGCGCAAAUUACCCAAUCCCGAUACGGGGAGGUAGUGACAAUAAAUACUGAUACAGGGCUCUUUUGGGUCUUGUAAUUGGAAUGAGUACAAUUUAAUUCCCUUAACGAGGAACAAUUGGAGGGCAAGUCUGGUGCCAGCAGCCGCGGUAAUUCCAGCUCCAAUAGCGUAUAUUAAAGUUGUUGCAGUUAAAAAGCUCGUAGUUGAACCUUGGGCCUGGCUGGCCGGUCCGCCUCACCGCGUGCACUGGUCCGGCCGGGCCUUUCCCUCUGGGGAACCGCAUGCCCUUCACUGGGCGUGUCGGGGAACCAGGACUUUUACUUUGAAAAAAUUAGAGUGUUCAAAGCAGGCUUAUGCUCGGAUACAUUAGCAUGGAAUAAUAGAAUAGGACGUGCGGUUCUAUUUUGUUGGUUUCUAGGACCGCCGUAAUGAUUAAUAGGGACAGUCGGGGGCAUCAGUAUUCAAUAGUCAGAGGUGAAAUUCUUGGAUCUAUUGAAGACUAACUACUGCGAAAGCAUUUGCCAAGGAUGUUUUCAUUAAUCAGGAACGAAAGUUAGGGGAUCGAAGACGAUCAGAUACCGUCGUAGUCUUAACCAUAAACUAUGCCGACUAGGGAUCGGACGGUGUUAUUUUUUGACCCGUUCGGCACCUUACACGAAAGUACAAGUUUCUGGGUUCUGGGGGGAGUAUGGUCGCAAGGCUGAAACUUAAAGAAAUUGACGGAAGGGCACCACCAGGGGUGGAGCCUGCGGCUUAAUUUGACUCAACACGGGGAAACUCACCAGGUCCAGACACGAUGAGGAUUGACAGAUUGAGAGCUCUUUCUUGAUUUCGUGGGUGGUGGUGCAUGGCCGUUCUUAGUUGGUGGAGUGAUUUGUCUGCCUAAUCGCGAUAACGAACGAGACCUUAACCUGCUAAAUAGCCCGCGUUGCUUUGGCAGCGCGCUGGCUUCUUAGAGGGACUAUCGGCUCAAGCCGAUG
rnacentral:rRNA from 1 species